UGUCAACUAGUUGUNGGNNCUNACUAGGCUUGGUAACGUAGCUAACGCGUGAAGUUGACCGCCUGGGGAGUACGGCCGCAAGGUUAAAACUCAAAUGAAUUGACGGGGGCCCGCACAAGCGGGGGAGCAUGUGGUUUAAUUCGAAGCAACGCGAAAAACCUUACCUGGCCUUGACAUGCCAUGAACUUUCCAGAGAUGGAUUGGUGCCNUCAAGAAAAUUGAGACACAGGUGCUGCAUGGGUGUCGUCAACUCCUGUUGUGAGAAGUUGGGGUAAAACCCGCAACGAGCGCAACCCUUGUCAUUUUUUGCCAUCAUCAAAAGCUUUNUANUANAACUGCCGGUGCCAAAACCCAGGAAGGGGGGGAUGACGUCAAGUCCUCAUGGCCCUUUUGGGUAGGGCUUCACACG
rnacentral:rRNA from 1 species